UUCUAAGCUUGGAGGAGGGAGAAGAAAGAAAUAGGUAUCUAAUCUGAUCUCUUAUUGGUAUUCGUGCGAUUCACGAGUUUAGUAGAGUCCUUCACACGCAGUAGAACUUCCCGAUAUGUGCAAUUGCAUCCAAAUACAUUUGCCCUGGUGCGACAGUCGGAAAGCUGAGCGAGAAUACCUAAAUGGGUUCUGUAAAUUCAAUUCGUAAAAGCAUGGCCGCAGAUUGCACACGUCACACACAGAUUUAAUGAAAGACGGAGUCAAACAAGAAAUUUGUUUGAAUGGCAAAAUAGGGUUUCCUCGAAGUGUGAUCCGAGUGGGGCAUAUGGAAUUUAUGCAGAUUUGAUUUGGUAAAUGAUACCUAAUAUCGUCUCGAGCGUGGAGUCCCAUUCAAUUCAAUUCAAAUCGGGCGUCUGCACUGCAAAUGCACGGCACUGUGAUUCAUGAGCAUCACCCUCUCCCUCACCUUCUGUACCCUAUUCCUUCCCUCCAUGCCUAGGUAAGCUGUGUAAGGGCUACGGCGCAGGUGUUCAAGAUUCGAAUAUCUAUCGACCUCAUCAAUGCAUCAUUAUGUCCUCACACGCGCACAUCGGGGAACAGGAAAAGCCAGACGCACCUGGAAUUCCACGGUUAAAUUUUCAGGAAAAGAGGUCUUUCUGGGGUGUCUCAGGCCUUCUGUGCCUGUGCAGAAACUUUUUGCGCUUGCGUUUCAACUUCUUGCACCUGUGUAUGUUGAACAUCUGUGGCUAUGCAGAGACUUUUUGCACCUGUGUUCAAACAUUUUGCACCUGUGUUCAAACAUUUUGUGCAUGUGUUCAAUCUUUCAGCACCUGUGUCUGAUUGUUAUGUGCCUGUGCAGAGGUAAAACCUAAGAUCUUGUAUGGAAAAAAAUGAAGCAUCACACAUUCAUCAUGACAAAGUUGCACAUUCGUGCAGAAAAAAAUGUGCAUUCGUAUUGACAAAAUUGCGCAUUCCUCUAGGAUCAUCUCACACUUAUUUUAUCUGUCAUUUUUUUGUGCAAUUUCUCUGCUUGUUUAACCCAUAAUUAGAUUUUUAAUCUAGAAAAUUUCACUUCCUAUCUAUAAUGAGUCAGAUCUAAUGGCAAGAAAGGUGAGAUUCAAGAUUUUAGGUGCAAGAAGAAAGGCAGACAAAAGGAGACAACAAAGAGUCCACCAGCGAAUACUAAAGACAGAAAGAAGACUCCAAAACCUAGAAGACAAAAUUGCUUUAUCCAGAUACCAUAACCUCAUGCAAAAGUGCCUGAUGAAAUAUAAUUUUAUAAGUG